CAUAGUUGUUAUGACGAUAUUGAAAUUUGACACACUGUAUUUAACUCAUAUAUACAAGCCGCUUGGGAGCAGCUAAGCGUUAUCCUGCCAGCUUGUCUCCGCUAUUUUCGGAUAGGCGUGCACAUAGCCUCAGAUUACAACACCAAACUCCUAUCUCAUUUUCAAUUUAAUCUCUGAAAAAAGGGCCCUUAAUCUAAUCAUCUUCUUCAUCGCUGAGCUCUUCGUCUUCUCUGGUGCGUUCAUAGUUGUUGCUGCUUUGUGAUUUGUUUUACACGUAGGCGGUAAACAAAAAAGGUAUUAAAUUGCCCCUCACGAAGGAGCCAUGUUGACGCAGGUCUUACCUUCAACCAUUUCCAACUACUGUUGCAGCCUAACCUAAAGGAGCAGUAAACACAAUGUUACAACACAGAUUGUGAGGCUUGUGUGACAGCAAUUGAAGAUGCACUUAGAGAGAGACAAAAGACCAAUGGCCAUGCGUCAAAUGUUUCUCCAAUUGCUGAAAAAUUGUUCGUCUCAAUUAGGGCAGGUGGUGCAGGGCAAGGUAUUGCUUUUGGCGCCAAAAACAGAGGGGUAAGGGUUGUAAUAUUCAACCACAAAUACGGUAAUGCCUCCUAUCUCCCUAAGGAUUAUGGAUAUGUCAUCUUUUACUCUUUAUUCAUUCAUGUCUCCUUUCAUUUAUUUAAAUUUUGUGUUAAAAAAAGGGAGCAAAGCUCUGGCUGCAGCAGUAUCCGAUGAAGCUCUGCCAUAUGAACAUCUGAAUGAUUUCUGCCAUGAGUUGCGGAUGAUUCUUGCCAAUGCUUCUACUGUGACAUGCAGCCAAAGUCUGUUUAUGCCAAUAUAAUAUAUUGGUUGGACUUCUUUAUCUGCUAACUAAUUAUUCAUGGAAACUCAUAUGAUGAAAAAUAAAAGGAUUGGUCCAUGUGAAGAAAGUUUCAGAAGAUGUUUCGCCAACUUCAAUUUGUAAUAGAAAAUUGUUAGCCAGCUUUCUUUUAUCAUGUGAUGUAUUUGAAUUCCAACUUGUAGCUCUUUUAUCAUCGUUAUGAACUCUUUAUUAGAGUGUUUAUAUUAUUGAUGAAUGAAAAUCUACUUUGGAGAGUAA